CGGCCCUCCCCCUCUCCCUCCCCAGACCCCGUCAGCCAUUCACCCCAAAUCUUUGUGCCGCUUCCCUUCCAUUUCUGGCUCUCCCUUCGAUUUUCGAUCGUGAUGCUGAUUUUGCGGUCGUGUGUGUGUGUGGCGUCGGCGGUGGUGGCGGCAAGGGAAACUGAGCAAGGUGGGGAGGAGACUGUGAUGGACAUAAAGGGAUCUAGGGCAUGACUUGGCAGCGAAAAUUUCAGGCGAUGGUUGGCGGCGGGAGAGACUAGAGAGAGAGAGGGCGACGGGGUCUGGGGAGGGGGGGAGGGGGCGGCCAGCGCCGGCCUGGUGGUAGGCGGCGGCAGGUGGGGGAGGGUAAGUUAGGGUUUGGGAGUGGGGAAGGUUGGGGAAGAUGAUGUGGGUGUAUUUUUUUUUCAUUAUUAUUUUUAAAAUAUGGUUCGGUUUUUUUGGUUCGGUUCGGUUCGGGCCUCAAAGGCCUACACAUUUAAACAACAAAUCUCAGGCUUCAACAUCUGGAAAGCCUAAGAAGAAAAAAGUGGUUGGAGUAGGUCUUUAUGUGAAUUUGGAAAGUGGAAGGCAGAUCUUUUAUGGUCACAACCAAUUGUGAUUGAUGAAGGCACAUCCAAUGAGGCAGACCCAAACACAAGAUUCUCCAUACCAAAUGAAGCUCAACUAAGGAAAGAAAGGAGAAAGAGAGGAGAAAACACCUCAACUGGAGUAUCAAUGAAGAAGAAAGAUCAGCCAAGAAACCCAUUUAAAGCACCAAGAAAACAAGCUACAAAAACUGUGGAUCCAGAGCAACCACAUAUGAGAAGCACCAGAGGACAAAAAGUCAUUUCCUAGUUUUAAGUUUAGUGUGGAAA